rnacentral:tRNA from 1 species
GGAGGGGUGGGCGAGAGGCCUAAACCAGUCGUCUUAUAAACGACCGACGUGCUGAUACCACGUCCGAGGGUUCGAAUCCCUUCCCCUCCG